AGUGAACGCUGGCGGCAGGCCUAACACAUGCAAGUCGAACGGCAGCACGGCAGUAGCAAUACUGUGGGUGGCGAGUGGCGGACGGGUGAGGAAUACAUGGGAAUCUACCCUGUCGUGGGGGAUAACGUAGGGAAACUUACGCUAAUACCGCAUACGACCGAGAGGUGAAAGCGGCGGACCGCAAGGCGUCGCGGGAAUGGAUGAGCCAAUGUCGGAUUAGCGAGGUGGCGGGGGAAAGGCCCACCAAGGCGACGAUCCGUAGCUGGUCUGAGAGGAUGAUCAGCCACACUGGAACUGAGACACGGUCCAGACUCCUACGGGAGGCAGCAGUGGGGAAUAUUGGACAAUGGGCGCAAGCCUGAUCCAGCCAUGCCGCGUGAGUGAAGAAGGCCUUCGGGUUGUAAAGCUCUUUUGUCCGGAAAGAAAAGCUCUCGGUUAAUACCCGGGGGUGAUGACGGUACCGGAAGAAUAAGCACCGGCUAACUUCGUGCCAGCCGCCGCCGUAA
rnacentral:rRNA from 1 species